rnacentral:rRNA from 1 species
AACGCUAGCUACAGGCUUAACACAUGCAAGUCGAGGGGUAACGAAAGGGAAGCUUGCUUUCCUUGUCGACGACCGGCGCACGGGUGAGUAACGCGUAUCCAACCUGCCCAUCACUUGGGGAUAACCUUGCGAAAGUAAGACUAAUACCCAAUGACGUCUCUAGAAGACAUCUGAAAGGGAUUAAAGAUUUAUCGGUGAUGGAUGGGGAUGCGUCUGAUUAGCUUGUUGGCGGGGUAACGGCCCACCAAGGCGACGAUCAGUAGGGGUUCUGAGAGGAAGGUCCCCCACAUUGGAACUGAGACACGGUCCAAACUCCUACGGGAGGCAGCAGUGAGGAAUAUUGGUCAAUGGACGAGAGUCUGAACCAGCCAAGUAGCGUGCAGGAAGACGGCCCUAUGGGUUGUAAACUGCUUUUAUAAGGGAAUAAAGUGAGUCUCGUGAGACUUUUUGCAUGUACCUUAUGAAUAAGGACCGGCUAAUUCCGUGCCAGCAGCCGCGGUAAUACGGAAGGUCCAGGCGUUAUCCGGAUUUAUUGGGUUUAAAGGGAGCGUAGGCCGGAGAUUAAGCGUGUUGUGAAAUGUAGAUGCUCAACAUCUGAACUGCAGCGCGAACUGGUUUCCUUGAGUACGCACAAAGUGGGCGGAAUUCGUGGUGUAGCGGUGAAAUGCUUAGAUAUCACGAAGAACUCCGAUUG